rnacentral:lncRNA from 1 species
UGAAGGAGAAAUAUGUCAAACCAAAGUUUAAGUCUUUAAAAAUGUACCUCUCUUCGGUAUUUAAUUCAAACCAUAUAAAAAUUUUAAGUUGCAAGUCUUUACAUUCCAAAAAUUGUUCUAAUAAAACCAUCGAUAAUUCACUUUAGUUAAGAUUCGUGGAGGAACUUUAUGUUGUCCAAUUAAUAUAUUGCGCCAGGAACUGUUUGGAUCAAUUUGUAAAAAUAGAGGCUUUAUUCAAAUCCUAUAUAAAUCAAUUCCAAAAAAUGAAAAAAAUUGUAAACUCAAUAACUGGAGUAGCGGUUCCAUUAAUUAAGUCGUCCAUAAAUGUCGCCAAAUGUCAUAAAAUUUUAUUUUUUUACUGUGUCUUAAGUAUAUUAGUAUAAAAAUGCACAUUCAUUUACAAAUGCAAACUACGGUUAGCAAAGAAAACAGAAUAGCUUCUUCUACUUGUGGAAGACGGAGAAUGGUAUACGAGAUUAAGUAAUUGUAAGCUCAAUGGGAACGCCCACUUUGAACUUUAAACAAACCACACCAUCAAUUAAGCGAAAGGGGAAAUAUCCAUGCAUAAUAAACAAAUAUAAAUUAGAUAUUUUCUUACUCAGUUGUAUGUAUAAAUAUAUUUUACUAUCUUUGAA